rnacentral:rRNA from 1 species
UACGUAGGGCGCAAGCGUUGUCCGGAAUUAUUGGGCGUAAAGCGUCUGUAGGUGGUUUAAUAAGUCAACUGUUAAAUCUUGAGGCUCAACCUCAAAAUCGCAGUCGAAACUAUUAGGCUAGAGUAUAGUAGGGGUAAAGGGAAUUUCCAGUGGAGCGGUGAAAUGCGUAGAGAUUGGAAAGAACACCGAUGGCGAAGGCACUUUACUGGGCUAUUACUAACACUCAGAGACGAAAGCUAGGGUAGCAAAUGGG